GUCUGCAACUCGACUACAUGAAGCUGGAAUCGCUAGUAAUCGCGAAUCAGAAUGUCGCGGUGAAUACGUUCCCGGGUCUUGUACACACCGCCCGUCACACCAUGGGAGUUGGGAAUGCCCGAAGCCGGUGACCUAACCGAAAGGGAGGAGCCGUCGAAGGCAGGCUUGAUAACUGGGGUGAAGUCGUAACAAGGUAUC
rnacentral:rRNA from 1 species